CCGCACCUAAUUAAGCCGAAUGUGCUCCUUUCUUUGCGGGGGGCCCAGGGUGCAAUGGUGGCAAACAGCAGCCUCCUCGGUAGUGUGUGCAGCCUGUUGCUUGUAUGGGUUGCCCUAAGGGACCCUGGAAACAGCC